rnacentral:rRNA from 1 species
AACAAACGCUGGCGGCGUGUCUUAAGCAUGCAAGUUGAGCGGCAAGGAGGAGAGAUCCUCCCUAGAGCGGCGGACUGGUGAGUAACGCGUGGGUAAUCUAUCGUAGGCAUGGGGAUAGUCACUAGAAAUAGUGGGUAAUACCGAAUACGUUCCAUGAGGGGAGUACUUAUGGAAGAAAGGGUGCUAUGGCACUGGCCUUAGGUGAGCUCGCGUCCCAUUAGCUAGUUGGUGAGGUAAAGGCCCACCAAGGCGAUGAUGGGUAGCCGGCCUGAGAGGGUGUACGGCCACACUGGGACUGAGAUACGGCCCAGACUCCUACGGGAGGCAGCAGCUAAGAAUAUUCCGCAAUGGACGGAAGUCUGACGGAGCGACGCCGCGUGGAUGAAGAAGGCCGAAAGGUUGUAAAGUUCUUUUGCUAGGGGAGAAUAAGUGUGGGAGGGAAUGCCUGCACGAUGACAAGGACUAGCGAAUAAGUCCCGGCCAACUACGUGCCAGCACGG